rnacentral:piRNA from 1 species
UGUUUUGUCCUCGUGAAACUCAUGUUGAGU